AGAGUUUGAUCAUGGCUCAGAUUGAACGCUGGCGGCAGGCUUAACACAUGCAAGUCGAGCGGAGAUGAGGUGCUUGCACCUUAUCUUAGCGGCGGACGGGUGAGUAAUGCUUAGGAAUCUGCCUAUUAGUGGGGGACAACAUUUCGAAAGGAAUGCUAAUACCGCAUACGCCCUACGGGGGAAAGCAGGGGAUCUUCGGACCUUGCGCUAAUAGAUGAGCCUAAGUCGGAUUAGCUAGUUGGUGGGGUAAAGGCCUACCAAGGCGACGAUCUGUAGCGGGUCUGAGAGGAUGAUCCGCCACACUGGGACUGAGACACGGCCCAGACUCCUACGGGAGGCAGCAGUGGGGAAUAUUGGACAAUGGGGGGAACCCUGAUCCAGCCAUGCCGCGUGUGUGAAGAAGGCCUUUUGGUUGUAAAGCACUUUAAGCGAGGAGGAGGAGCUCUAGAUUAAUACUCUAGAUGCUUGGACGUUACUCGCAGAAUAAGCACCGGCUAACUCUGUGCCAGCAGCCGCGGUAAUACAGAGGGUGCAAGCGUUAAUCGGAUUUACUGGGCGUAAAGCGUGCGUAGGUGGUCUUUUAAGUCGGAUGUGAAAUCCCUGAGCUUAACUUAGGAAUUGCAUUCGAUACUGGGAGACUAGAGUAUGGGAGAGGAUGGUAGAAUUCCAGGUGUAGCGGUGAAAUGCGUAGAGAUCUGGAGGAAUACCGAUGGCGAAGGCAGCCAUCUGGCCUAAUACUGACACUGAGGUACGAAAGCAUGGGGAGCAAACAGGAUUAGAUACCCUGGUAGUCCAUGCCGUAAACGAUGUCUACUAGCCGUUGGGGUCUUUGAGACUUUAGUGGCGCAGC
rnacentral:rRNA from 1 species